AUUGAACGCUGGCGGCAUGCUUUACACAUGCAAGUCGAACGGUAACAGCACUUCGGUGGCUGGCGUGUGGCGAACGGGUGAGUAAUACAUCUGAACGUGCCUAGGAUUGGGGGAUAACUACUCGAAAGAGGAGCUAAUACCGCAUGUACUCUAUGGAGGAAAGCAGGGGACCUUCUGGGCUUUCGCUACUAGAGAGGCUGAUGGCGCGUAUUGUAGUUGGGGGGGUAAAAGGCUACCAAGGCGACGAUCUGUAGCUGGUCUGGGAGGAUGACCAGCCACACUGGAACGGGGACACGGACCCGACUCCUACGGGAGGGAGCAGUGGGGAAUUUUGGACAAUGGGGGGAAGCCUGAUCCAACCAUGGCGCGGGUGAGAAGAAGGUCUUCGGGUUGUAAAGCACUUUUAGUCGGGAGGAAAGGCAGUAAGUUAAUACCAGGCUGGUUUGACGUUACCAACAGAAUAAGCACCGGCUAACUUCGUG
rnacentral:rRNA from 1 species